UGGCUGAGAGGAGCAAGGCUGGCCUGGAUCUGUGCUGAGUAGAUGCACUGAACCUUCCAUACACUUUUUUUGGAGGGUGCAAGGAAGAGAAACCCUCCCUACACAUCCAGACCCCUCUCCUCAUCCCUCCAUGCUUCCGCCUGAAUGAUGAGCUGUGCAGUUCAAUCCGCAUCCAGUACUCAGGGCUUCCCUCCCGCUCUCCCCCCAGCUGUCUGGCUCUUCCAAGCCCUCAACCCUCAUCAGCUGCUAGAACCCUCUUAUGUUCCCCUAAUGACAAGCAUCACUGACCCACUCAGCUGUCCAACUCCCCUGACGAGCUACUGAGGUUAUGGAAGUCAGACCCCCAACAUCUACCCCAAGUCAUAAGAAGGCCAUACUGGCUCAGACCAAAGGUCCAUCUAGCCCAGUAUCCUGUCUUCUGACAAUGGCCAAUGCCAGGUGCCUUGGAAUGCACAGACCAGGUAAUCAUCAAGUGAUUCGUUCCCUAUUGUCUUAACAAAAGGUUCCCCCAAAGCUAGGGCCAGAGUGAUGCUGAGGGUUAUAAUUAACAGUAGGCCCCAACUGAUCCAAAGCCUACUGGAAAGACCCCCAUUAACUUCAACAGGCUUAUGAUCAGACCCCUAGGCCACACACCUCUUUGCUGUAAAACCAAUGUACAAAGGAGCUUGUCCGAUCUAACUACCAUGCCAUUUCUAGUGUGCCCAUCGCCAUGCCGGAGAAAUCUAUCUAGGUGGCUCAAACAAUUCACCAGGACAGUUACAGAUCAAGGGAAUGACCUGAAUGCUAUUUAAGUGCAUGUGAUCCUGACACUUUAGAAGUUCUAGACAGCCUAAUCCCGUAGCUCUCAGGUAGUGGGCGUUUCCUAGGGCAGGGUUACCUGCUUCUGAAGUAAAAGCUGUGGAAGGAGCAUCUCAUUUUUCAGAGCUCACCAUGGGCCUGAAGUACUCCUGCUAAUACAGACCUUCAUUAGCUGGUGCAUUUUACAAGAGGACUUGUGGAUGAAGACGAUGUUUGAAUUGUUCUUUGUUGAGUGGCAAGGAGAAGCAGGUCUCUGAGGGCAAAAAUCCUGAAGGCUAAUGAAAUUGAACCAGGAGAAAAACACUAAAGCCUUGGAAAAUCACACAGAGGAAAAGUCUCUUUCAAAUACACCGGAAAACCAUUAAUUAUGGGCCCAAUCUGCAAAGCAUAGAACUGAUUCAAUUCCUGCCGCUCAUGCUUGGUGCCCAGCUGAGAAGUCACUGAGAAGGUCUGGGGUUGCAUCUUAAAAUACGUACGUUGGGGCAGAACCCUCUUUGAAUUUCACAGGUUUCUAUAUUUUAUGCAAAGGAAGCACUCGCAUUCAUGCUGUGCUAUGCAGAACCAUGUAAAUGCCUUUCUGGAUGAUUAUGUGACUGUACAGUAGCAGUAUGCUGAUAUAUUCCAUGUAACGUUUCUAUCUGCUAGGUAAAGAGCUCAAGAUAUGACA